rnacentral:tRNA from 1 species
GGAGGGGCCAUGGCUCAGUGGAAGAGCCUCUGCUUGGCAUUCUAGAAGGCCCCAGGUUCAAUCCCUGGCCUCUCCA